rnacentral:rRNA from 1 species
GACGAACGCUGGCGGCGGGCUUAACACAUGCAAGUCGAACGGAAAGGCCCUGCUUGUGUGGGGUGCUCGAGUGGCGAACGGGGGAGGAACAGGUGAGUAACCGGCCCUUGACUUUGGGAUAACUUCAGGAAACGGGGGCUAAGACCGGAUAGGAGCUCCUGCUGCAGGGUGGGGGGUGGAAAGUUUCGGCGGUUGGGGAUGGACUCGCGGCUUAUGAGCUUGUUGGUGGGGGAGUGGCUUACCAAGGCUUUGACGGGUAGCCGGCCUGAGAGGGUGACCGGCCACCUUGGGACUGAGAUACGGCCGAGACUCCUACUGGAGGCCGCAGUGGGCAAUCCUGAACCAUGGGUGGCACCCUGAUGCAGCAACGCCGCGUGCGGGAUAACGGCCUUCGGGUUGUAGACCGCUUUCGCCUGUGACGACGCGUGAGUGACGGUAAUGCGUAGAGAAGCCACGGCUAACUACCUG